rnacentral:rRNA from 1 species
UUUUCUAUGGAAGCUUGCUUCCACUGAGAAGAUAGUGGCGGACGGGUGAGUAACACGUGGGUAACCUGCCCAUAAGAGGGGGAUAACAUCCGGAAACGGGUGCUAAUACCGCAUAGUUUUCUUGAUCGCAUGAUUGAGAAAGGAAAGACGGCCUUUGUGCUGUCGCUUAUGGAUGGACCCGCGGCGUAUUAGUUAGUUGGUGAGGUAACGGCUCACCAAGACGAUGAUACGUAGCCGACCUGAGAGGGUGAUCGGCCACAUUGGGACUGAGACACGGCCCAAACUCCUACGGGAGGCAGCAGUAGGGAAUCUUCCGCAAUGGACGAAAGUCUGACGGAGCAACGCCGCGUGAGUGAAGAAGGUUUUCGGAUCGUAAAACUCUGUUGUCAGAGAAGAACAAGUCGGAGAGUAACUGCUCCGGCCUUGACGGUAUCUGACCAGAAAGCCACGGCUAACUACGUGCCAGCAGCCGCGGUAAUACGUAGGUGGCAAGCGUUGUCCGGAUUUAUUGGGCGUAAAGCGAGCGCAGGCGGUUCCUUAAGUCUGAUGUGAAAGCCCACGGCUCAACCGUGGAAGGUCAUUGGAAACUGGGGAACUUGAGUGCAGAAGAGGAGAGU